GACGAACGCUGGCGGCGUGCUUAACACGUGCAAGUUGAGCGAUGAAACACCUUCGGGUGCGGAUUAGCGGCGAACGGGUGAGGAACACGUGAGGAAUCUGCCUUCCACUCUGGGAUAACUCCGGGAAACCGGGGCUAAUACCGGAUACUUUCAACUGGCGGAAUCGCCGGUUGAAGAAAGUUUUUCGGUGGAAGAUGACCUCGCGGCCUAUCAGCUUGUUGGUGAGGUAAAGGCUGACCAAGGCGACGACGGGUAGCCGGCCUGAGAGGGCGACCGGCCACACUGGGACUGAGACACGGCCCAGACUCCUACGGGAGGCAGCAGUGGGGAAUAUUGGGCAAUGGAGGAAACUCUGACCCAGCGACGCCGCGUGAGGGAUGAAGGCCUUCGGGUUGUAAACCUCUUUCAGCAGGGAAUAAGCGAAAGUGAAGGUACCUGCAGAAGAAGCACCGGCUAACUAUGUGCCAGCCGCCGCCGUAA
rnacentral:rRNA from 1 species